UCCGACCCUCCAACUAUGAAACUAUGAAAAUUGAAACGAUACAGAGAAGAUUAGCAUAGCCCCCUGUGCAAGGAUGACAGAAAUGUGUGAAGUGUUCCAUAUUUUU
rnacentral:snRNA from 1 species